rnacentral:lncRNA from 1 species
CCACCAAGGUAGUAGCCUGGUGGUAAGGGGGCGAUAAUUCCGCCCAAGUUGCCCGGGUUCGAAACGCGCGGGCGUCGAUUAAAUUAGGGGACCGGAUGCCCCACGCCCGGCUGGCUUGUUGGCGGUUAUGCUUUCCUUCCACUUGUACCAAGGUGGCGCUGGGGUGACGUACCCACACGUGAGGCGGUGAACCCAGUGGGGUGAGCCCACGGGUCGGGGAAGGCACGCGAAAACCUGCGACCUGUAUCGAACAUUCCCUGGUGAAAGGGGGGCCCAGUAAUGGGGCUGCUACGCGGGUGGGCUGGUCCCUCCCCCUCCCCUCCUAUCUUUUUUAACCAAAAAAAAAAAAGUACUACUAAGUCUCGUAACAUGAUCAACUGGCCAAACCGAGGCAUCAAGAUAAUGGAUACAACUCUAAGAUUACGCCUUUGAGUUAAAGAAACGACUACAAACAAUGAAGCGAGAGCACAANNNNNNNNNNNNNNNNNNNNACGUACCACACGUGAGGCGGUGAACCCAGUGGGGUGAGCCCACGGGUCGGUGAAGGCACGCGAAAACCUGCGACCUGUAUCGAACAUUCCCUGGUGAAAGGGGGGCCCAGUAAUGGGGCUGCUACGCGGGUGGGCUGGUCCCUCCCCC